CCUACGGGAGGCAGCAGUUAGGAAUAUUGGACAAUGGGGGCAACCCUGAUCCAGCCAUGCCGCGUGUGUGAAGAAGGCCUUAGGGUUGUAAAGCACUUUCAGCUGUGAAGAUAAUGACAGUAGCAGAAGAAGAAGCUCCGGCUAAAUUCGUGCCAGCAGCCGCGGUAAUACGAAUGGAGCGAGCGUUGUUCGGAAUCACUGGGCGUAAAGGGUGCGCAGGCGGUCAUGAAAGUUAGAAGUGAAAUCCCAGGGCUUAACCCUGGAAUGGCUUUUAAAACUCCAUGACUAGAGUACUGGAGAGGUUGGCGGAAUUCCGAGUGUAGAGGUGAAAUUCGCAGAUAUUCGGAGGAACACCAAUGGCGUAGGCAGCCAACUGGACAGUAACUGACGCUCAUGCACGAAAGCGUGGGGAUCAAACAGGAUUAGAUACCCUGGUAGUCCACGCCCUAAACGAUGUGUGCUAGUAGUCGGUUCGUUAGUACGUACGGUGUACGCGAGCUACGUACUUACGU
rnacentral:rRNA from 1 species